rnacentral:tRNA from 1 species
GGAGAAUCCUGUAGGCGGAGUCCGGAUCGCUUCGCAAUCUAUAGGUCAGGGGUUCGAAUCCCCUAUUCUCCACGA